AUCAACAUCGCUAACCUGUAUAUAGCGUCCGCCUCCUAAGCGGAAGGUUGAGGGUUCGAGUCCCUUGUUAGUC